GCCCCUUUAAAUGGCGCAUGCGCAGUGGGUGGAGCCCCCGAGGCCCUGACGAAGAGCUCUUUCUGUUUGAGCCGCCGCGAGUCGACAUUAGUUUGAUUCUCCUGGUUAACAACAGUUAUUUAUCUGCAUUACUUUCGGUCGUCUUUUAUGAGUAAUCAAAAGCAGCAAAAGCCGACGCUAACAGGCCAGCGGUUCAAAACGAGGAAAAGAGAUGAAAAGGAGAGAUUUGACCCUACUCAGUUUCAAGAAAGUAUCGUACAAGGCUUGAAUCAAUCUGGCUCUGAUUUGGAAGCAGUCGCAAAAUUCCUGGAUGCCUCUGGCGCCAAGCUUGACUACCGCCGGUAUGCUGAGACGCUCUUUGACAUCCUGGUGGCUGGCGGCAUGCUGGCCCCAGGCGGGUCUCUCUCCGACGACAUGACCCGCACUGAGUUCUGCCUCUUCACGGCACAAGAAGACCUGGAGACCAUGCAGGCAUAUGCUCAGGUUUUUAACAAGCUGAUCCGGCGUUACAAGUACCUGGAGAAGGGUUUCGAAGAGGAGAUCAAGAAGUUGCUGCUGUUUCUUAAAGGGUUCACUGAGUCUGAGCGCAACAAACUGGCCAUGCUGACCGGCAUCCUGCUGGCCAAAGGAAACAUAUCAGCCUCAAUCCUUAACAGCCUCUACAACGAGAACAUCGUCAAAGAAGGAGUAUCUGCAGCCUUCGCCGUUAAGCUGUUCAAGUCAUGGAUUAACGAAAAGGACAUCAACUCUGUGGCCGGCUCUCUCCGCAAAGUGGGCAUGGACAACAGGCUGAUGGAACUCUUUCCUGCCAACAAACGGAGCUGCGAGCAUUUUUCUAAGUACUUCACCGACGCCGGGCUGACGGAGCUUGCUGACUUCGCCCGUAACCAGGAAUCCAUCGGUGCCCGCAAGGAGCUGCAGAAGGAGCUCCAGGAGCAGAUUGCCCGCGGAGACCCUCAGAAGGAGAUUAUCGUCUUCGCCAGAGAGGAGAUGAACAGGGCCAACCACUCGGAGCAGGCCAUGAUCAACAUCAUCUGGACCAGCGUGAUGAGCUGCGUGGAGUGGAACAAGAAGGAGGAGCUGGUGACCGAACAAGCCAUCAAACAAUUGAAGCUGCUGUCUGAAAGAAACAUAAUCGAGAAAAUGCAGCAACCAUCAUACUCAAUACAGCCUGCUGCUGAAAGCCUUCACCUCCCAGGGUCUGUCUGAGAUCAGCCUGCUGCUGAAGAUCCAGGAGUACUGCUACGACAACAUCCACUUCAUGAAGGCCUUCCAGAAGAUCGUGGUGCUCCUCUACAAAGCGGAUGUAUUGAGUGAAGAAGCCAUACUGAAGUGGUACACCGAUGCCCACGUUGCCAAGGGGAAGAGCGUCUUCCUCGAGCAGAUGAAGAAAUUCGUCGAGUGGCUGAAAAAUGCUGAGGAAGAGUCUGAGUCGGACGGAGAGGAGACGGACUAACUCCUCCACCGCCAGAUGAGCUUCUUCGCUUUUUAACUUUUUUUAUAAGUAGCAGCAGGAGCCGAAGAAUGUAGUUGUUCCUCUUCUACCUCCUGUUACUAUUUUAACCCUAAAACACACACACACACACACACACACACACACACACACACACACACACACACACACACACCCUUCCACCUCUAAAAAGAAUAAUGUAAAGAUUAUUCAAACUAAACCUGAAAAAGGGCUCUGUCCUUUAACACGUAGCGGCUCACAGUGGAAGCGGUAAAACGAUGAAUACUUCCCAGAUGUUCUCUGUUUUAUUAUCGUACCUCCUUGUUUAAUUAGGAUACACAACAUUCCAUGUGAUCGAUCGCUGCUGCUCGUGUGAAUCAGAAAAACGUGAGUUAUCGAUAUUCAAGGCGGACAAAAACUAAUUUUGCCAAUGUUUAGUAUUUUUAUUUUUAUAAUCCCCUCCCAUGUUUCGGCUCCUCUCUCGACUUUUGGGAACCCCUGUACCGCGUGUCCAUACGCCCGGCAGCCAACUCAUUACUAUUGGUUUCUACUUCCUUUAAUCUGACUUUUUUAUGAAAAUAAAGAUGAUUGAAAUGGUC